rnacentral:rRNA from 1 species
UAGAGGAAGUAAAAGUCGUAACAAGGUUUCCGUAGGUGAACCUGCGGAAGGAUCAUUAAAAAAAUACGCCUGGUGAAAGUAGAAACACCGAAUCCAGUGCUGUAUACAACCACCUGCUUACCUUUACCUGUUGCUUCCGUGGAAUUAUGGGUGCUCUUCCUGUUCGCAGGCUUGAGUUACCUUCCACGGGUGUAUUUUAAAACUCGUUUUGUAUUAUUGUCUGAUUCAAAAAUUUUAAUAAAAGUUAAAACUUUCAACAACGGAUCUCUAGGUUCUCGCAUCGAUGAAGAACGCAGCGAAAUGCGAUAAGUAGUGUGAAUUGCAGAUUUCAGUGAAUCAUCGAAUCUUUGAACGCACAUUGCGCCCUUUGGUAUUCCGAAGGGCAUGCCUGUCUGAGCGUCAGUAAAUCAAUCAAACCUUGGUUUGGUAUUGGGAGAAGUGGUUUUACCUCUCUCCUUUAAGCUAUUGGCGACACUAUUUCAGCUUGUAAGACGUAGUAAGUAAUUUCUCGUUAAAGCAACUGGAUGGCUGUCUGCCAAAUGAACGAUUUAUUUUAAAGUUUGACCUCAGAUCAGGUAGGGAUACCCCCUGAACUUAAGCAUA